rnacentral:rRNA from 1 species
GACGAACGCUGGCGGCGUGCCUAAUACAUGCAAGUAGAACGCUGAAGGCGUAGCUUUCUUCUCUGGAUGAGUUGCGAACGGGUGAGUAACGCGUAGGUAACCUGCCUAGUAGCGUGGGAUAACUAUUGGAAACGAUAGCUAAUACCGCAUAAGAGUAGAUGUUGCAUGACAUUUGCUUAAAAGUUGCAAUUGCAUCACUACCAGAUGGACCUGCGUUGUAUUAGCUAGUUGGUGGGGUAACGGCUCACCAAGGCGACGAUACCUAGCCGACCUGUGAGGGUGAUCGGCCACACUGGGAGUGAGACACGGCCCAGACGCCUACGGGAGGCAGCAGUAGGGAAUCUGCGGCAAUGGACGGAAGUCUGACCGAGAAACGCCGCGUGAGUGAAGAAGGUUUUCGGAUCGUGAAGCUCUGUUGUAAGAGAAGAACGAGUGUGAGAGUGGAAAGUUCACACUGUGACGGUAUCUUAACAGAAAGGGACGGCUAACUACGUG